GACGAACCGUGCGAACGUUGUUCGGAAUCACUGGGCUUAAAGGGCGCGUAGGCGGGCUCGCCAGUCAGGGGUGAAAGCCCACGGCUCAACCGUGGAAGUGCCUUUGAUACUGCGAGUCUCGAGGGAGGUAGGGGCGUGCGGAACUUCCGGUGGAGCGGUGAAAUGCGUAGAUAUCGGAAGGAACACCGGUGGCGAAAGCGGCGCGCUGGACCUCUACUGACGCUGAGGCGCGAAAGCCAGGGGAGCAAACGGG
rnacentral:rRNA from 1 species